rnacentral:tRNA from 1 species
AGCACAAUGUCCGAGUGGUUAAGGCGUUGGACUUAAGUUCCAAUGGACAAUUGUCUACGUGGGUUCGAACUCCACUCGUGUUA